UACGUAGGUGGCAAGCGUUGUCCGGAAUUACUGGGCGUAAAGGGCGCGUAGGCGGCCGUUUGCGUCGGAUGUGAAAGCCCGGGGCUCAACCUCGGAACGGCAUUCGAUACGGGACGGCUGGAGACCGGGAGAGGAGAGUGGAAUAGCCAGUGUAGAGGUGAAAUUCGUAGAUAUUGGCUGGAACACCGGUGGCGAAAGCGGCUCUCUGGCCCGGUUCUGACGCUGAGGCGCGAAAGCGUGGGGAGCAAACAGG
rnacentral:rRNA from 1 species